AACGAACGCUGGCGGCAUGCCUAACACAUGCAAGUCGAACGAAACCUUCGGGUCUUGUGGCGCACGGGUGCGUAACGCGUGGGAACCUGCCCUUAGGUUCGGAAUAACUCCCCGAAAGGGGUGCUAAUACCGGAUAAUGUCUUCGGACCAAAGAUUUAUCGCCUUUGGAUGGGCCCGCGUUGGAUUAGCUAGUUGGUAGACUAAAAGCCUACCAAGGCGACAAUCCAUAGCUGGUCUGAGAGAAUGAUCAGCCACACUGGGACUGAGACCCGGCCCAGAAUCCUACGGGAUGCGGCAGUGCGGAAUAUUGGACAGUGGGGGAAGGGCUGAUCGAGCAAGGCCGGGUGAAUGAUGAAGGCCUUAGAGAUGUAAAGCGCUUUUACCCGGGAAGAUCAUGACGGUACCUGGAGAAUAAGCCCCGGCUAACUCCGUG
rnacentral:rRNA from 1 species